AGCAAUUGAGCGUGAACUGCUA
rnacentral:siRNA from 1 species